rnacentral:rRNA from 2 species
AAAUUGAAGAGUUUGAUCAUGGCUCAGAUUGAACGCUGGCGGCAGGCCUAACACAUGCAAGUCGAACGGUAACAGGAAACAGCUUGCUGUUUCGCUGACGAGUGGCGGACGGGUGAGUAAUGUCUGGGAAACUG